GUGAGGAAUAUUGGACAAUGGGCGCAAGCCUGAUCCAGCCAUGCCGCGUGCAGGAAGACGCAUCUAUGGUGUGUAAACUGCUUUUGUACGGGAAGAAACACUCCCUCGUGAGGGAGCUUGACGGUACCGUAAGAAUAAGGAUCGGCUAACUCCGUGUCAGCAGCCGCGGUAAUACGGAGGAUCCAAGCGUUAUCCGGAAUCAUUGGGUUUAAAGGGUCCGUAGGCGGUUUAAUAAGUCAGUGGUGAAAGCCCAUCGCUCAACGAUGGAACGGCCAUUGAUACUGUUAGACUUGAAUUACAAGGAAGUAACUAGAAUAUGUAGUGUAGCGGUGAAAUGCUUAGAUAUUACAUGGAAUACCAAUUGCGAAGGCAGGUUACUACUUGUGGAUUGACGCUGAUGGACGAAAGCGUGGGGAGCGAACAGGAUUAGAUACCCGGGUAGUCC
rnacentral:rRNA from 1 species